rnacentral:rRNA from 1 species
UACGUAGGUGGCAAGCGUUGUCCGGAUUUACUGGGCGUAAAGAGCGCGCAGGCGGUCGUUCAAGUCGCGUGUGAAAGCCCCCGGCUCAACUGGGGGGUGUCGUGCGAUACGGGCGGACUGGAGGCCAGUAGGGGGAUGCGGAAUUCCGGGUGUAGUGGUGGAAUGCGUAGAGAUCCGGAGGAACACCAGCGGCGAAGGCGGCAUCCUGGACUGGUCCUGACACUCAUGAGCGAAAGCGUGGGGAGCGAACAGG